GGGGUAAUAAGAUUAUGGAAUUUAAACGUUUGCAGUUCAAUUGCAAGAAAGUCUUUGUGGACUUAUCCCA
rnacentral:tRNA from 1 species